rnacentral:lncRNA from 10 species
GUGAGGAGCUGCAGGGGUGGGCCGGGGCUGAGGAGGAGGAACAGGUGCCGGGGAACUCCUAGGACCCCAGGCUGGCGGCCACUGCCUCCUCUGUCCCUUGGGCAUCUCCCUCUGCCCUGCCCUGGAGAACAUAACUCUUAGCAGGCUCUUGCAGCCUAGACUUUUGAUAGCACUGCUGCCUCUGACUCCAAUCGCUACCACUUCCCCCCUAAAGCUCCCACCUCUGAAGAUUCGCCUCAUAUCAUCUCCUCUGUGUAAUCUCUUCUCAGCUUCCCCUUGCCCCUAAGUCCCCACCCCUCCAUCCCCAAACAGGGAGCAUUGUCUCCGCUGGCUCCACUCUACUAGACCAGCAGGGAGACGGAGGAAGCAUUUACUCCCUGGCUUCCUUCUAUGGACCACCCACUGGGCAUAAUCUCCUCCCCUAAGGGUUGGGUGUGCAUGAGUAUGUCCCAAGUGCCAUCGCCCAGGCAGGUGCAAGGAUGUGUGAAACUGGAGGCGAGAGCCUGGCAGGCUGUACCUGGUGUGGCUGAAAGGAGAUAGGGAGGGAUGCCAGGCAGUCCUUAAGAGGACCUGGGGAAGAUUCAUCUUCAACCCCAGACAAGGGUCAUUCACCUGAAAUGCCAGGACCAGGAAGUCCUGCCGGCUGCAGGCACAGCAUGUCCAACGUGAUUGGAAAUCACUUCCUGCUGUUCAUGUCCUCUUGGAAGGUCAGGUGGCCACUGCAACAAGGCCUUUGGGUUUAGACAGGAACUACACCAGCUCUCCCACAUCUCCAGGUUACAGACAGCAGAUCCUGUGCUUCUCAGCCUCCAUGAUCACGUGGGUGAGUCCCUCAUCAUAAGUCUCUUUCCAUAUAUCUAUACAGAUUCUAUUGGUUCCGUUUCUCUGGAGAGCCCUUGCUGAUACAAGUGAAAAAGCCAACAUGAAAAAGAGAUAAAAUACUAAGGAUUGAUAAUGAUAAAGAAGAACUCCCACACUAUAUUGGGAGUAUAAAUUGGCACAGCCACUUUGGAAAACUAAUAGGAUUUACUAAAGCUGAUGAAACUGCCUUUGCAAAAUUUGUAACAGUAAGAGAAAUUUAACCUAACUAAUUCCAUCUUGCUUCUAUUCUCACAAGCUAAUUGCCUUUGUUAACUUUAAAACAAAGACGGUAACAGUCCCUUCCUGAAACUAACUCCCUCCUUGCUCAGGGACCGAAACUGCCUUUGUAAAAUGAAUGCAGGGCCACAAGAUUAGGAUUUUGGGAGAGGUCUGAAUUCUACUAACAUGUAGGCUUAAAUGAUAACCAGCCACUGUUCUCUGGCUUGCUUUUCUAUAAUUCCUUGCCUCUUAGGAGAUGUGGCCAGAGGUCACAGGAUUGGUGACUUUUCCAAUUGUUCCUAUAGAUAACACUACUUUUAUAUUGCCUAAGAUUGUUAUUCUGAGAUGUUUUUCAGACUUCUGCAUUCUGGCAAAUGAAUGACUGCACCUGACCCGUGACUCAUGACUCAACUAGUCCUGUGGACCCCGCCUUGAGGUGGACUCAGUGCACCAGGACCAUUUUCCACACCCCUACAAUUUCAUCCCCAACCAAUCAGCAGCACUCAUUCCCUAGCCUGCUGUUCACCAAAUUAGCCAUGAAACCCCUACCUAGACUAGCCUCUGAGUUCUGAGAGAGGCUGAUUUGAGUAAUAAAGUAAUAAACUCCUGUUCUGCUUGGCUAGCCCUGUUUAUUAAACUUGUUCUCUACUGCAAUA